rnacentral:rRNA from 1 species
AACGAACGCUGGCGGCAUGCCUAACACAUGCAAGUCGAACGAAGUCUUCGGACUUAGUGGCGCACGGGUGCGUAACGCGUGGGAAUCUGCCCUUGGGUACGGAAUAACUCAGAGAAAUUUGUGCUAAUACCGUAUAAUGUCUUCGGACCAAAGAUUUAUCGCCCAAGGAUGAGCCCGCGUAAGAUUAGCUAGUUGGUGGGGUAAAAGCCUACCAAGGCGACGAUCUUUAGCUGGUCUGAGAGGAUGAUCAGCCACACUGGGACUGAGACACGGCCCAGACUCCUACGGGAGGCAGCAGUGGGGAAUAUUGGACAAUGGGCGAAAGCCUGAUCCAGCAAUGCCGCGUGAGUGAUGAAGGCCCUAGGGUUGUAAAGCUCUUUUACCAGGGAUGAUAAUGACAGUACCUGAGAAUAAGCUCCGGCUAACUCCGUG